AUGUAAAUCGCUCAGGAAUGUUGCUAAAAUAUAGAUUCUGAGUCAAUAUUCCUGAGGUAGAGCCUGAGAUUUUGUAUUUUUAACAACCUUUCAGGCGAUAUUAAU
rnacentral:pre_miRNA from 1 species